AGAACAGCUAUUACAUAUCUGGACUCGGUCUGUGCAAACCACUUCAAGCCAUGGCAAAGGAGGCGGCCUUCCAGCCUUGCGCCCGUCGAAGAUAAUGAGUUCUCACUACGUGCUAGUCCUGCAGCGAGGCUCUUUCAGGACACAAGCAGAAUAAAGGCAUGGCCUGCCCUCUGAGAGUCUGUAAUGCCAUCAUGAGCUGCCCUGUCACAACCUCUGUCUUUCCAAGUUAAAGAAUUGAUGCUCCUAUUCUGCUGCUCCAUGUUGGUAUCUGUGGAGAGGAGGGCUAGACAUCUAAACUUGCUGGCUGAAAACCAAUACAUCUUUCAAGUAUUAUUGAGAUCUGCAACAUGCUCGUCACUGUAGGAAGGAAGCAGAAAGAGAGGUCCCAUCUGCAAGGACACAGUUACCUGCUUUGGAAUGCACAGAAAAACAUGUCCACUUGCCUUCCACUGGUAUUCCUUGCAGCCAAGCCUCAGAGGCAUGGGUUGUGGUUUCCAGAUGCACAGCAAACAUCAGAAAGCAACUCUAAGGACCCAGUGUGCUCCGGGGGCCCCAUCCUGUCCCAGUGAGUCCCAAAGCAGCCCUCUUCAGUGGUGGGAAUGUGACAGGGGAGGAAGGCAUUGUUAGGUCCCCCAGCUGACAGUCCCUCACUUUGCCUCCUGGAUGUCUCUGCUUGAGCCUGGAGGAAGACGGCUAAACAUGGACAAGGAGAAUGGGAGCGGUCUGUGAUCAGAAGCAAAGUAGCUCAGCACGUUGAAGCAGCUCACACUUUCCGUAGCAGAACUGAUGAAGCGUCAUAAUUCAUCCUCCCCUUGGCUCAGAGCCCUCCUUAAGACUUCCAGGGAGGAAGCUUCCCAGAGGAAGGAAGGGAAGACAGAGGGAAGCUUGGACAAUUCCCACAGUAAGACGGUGCUGGCCUGGGACUGGGAGGGCAGAGCCUGAAGGUUGGCUGCUGAGCCGGGCAGGGAAGGCUGGGUGCUUUGGGGCCAAAGUGCUUGUUAUGAGAAAUUUCUUAAUGACUGUAAGUCCCCAGGGAGGCACGUGAGCACUGCCUGGCGCCAGCCGUGCUUGCACGGGGCUCGUGUCCAAGUGGAAAACAUGUCGGGGGUGAGUGAGGAGAGGGAGAAGGGACUGUGUGGCUACUGAAGGUGACGGACAGCCUUGGAACAGCAAAUCGGGCUCCUGUGGGAUUGGGUUUUACUGCAAUGGGUUACAAAGAUGAGUGACUUUCAGGUGAGAAAGAAUCUUAGUUCCUGGUUUCUAGAACAAAGCUUUUUCAUGGUUCUUAGUGAGUUUCAUUUGUAUUUUCCACCUGCAGACCUUUGCUCAUGACACUUCUUCCUUCUUUCCACAUGUCCAAAUCCUACUAGGCCAGCUCAGGCCUCACCAGCUCUGUGAAGUCACCCCUGAAAGUCUAACUUGAAGUCUCCCUUCUCCAACCUGCUGACCUGCCGUAGGCAGAGGUGACGUUAGUCUGAGAUUCUCCAACAGAGAUGUGUGUUUAGGAGGAACAUUUGUCUGCUCAGAGCCUUGAAGUUACUCAAA